rnacentral:rRNA from 1 species
UACGAAGGGGGCUAGCGUUGCUCGGAAUCACUGGACGUAAAGCGCACGUAGGCGGCUUUUUAAGUCAGGGGUGAAAUCCUGGAGCUCAACUCCAGAACUGCCUUUGAUACUGGGAAGCUCGAGUCCGGGAGAGGUGAGUGGAACUCCGAGUGUAGAGGUGAAAUUCGUAGAUAUUCGGAAGAACACCAGUGGCGAAGGCGGCUCACUGGCCCGGUACUGACGCUGAGGUGCGAAAGCGUGGGGAGCAAACAGG